AACACGUAGGGUGCAAGCGUUGUCCGGAAUCAUUGGGCGUAAAGAGCUCGUAGGCGGCUUAGUAAGUCGGGUGUGAAAACCCCAGGCUCAACCUGGGGACGCCACCCGAUACUGCUAUAGCUAGAGUCCAGUAGGGGAGUGUGGAAUUCCCAGUGUAGCGGUGAAAUGCGCAGAUAUUGGGAGGAACACCAGCGGCGAAGGCGGCACUCUGGGCUGGUACUGACGCUGAGGAGCGAAAGCGUGGGUAGCGAACAG
rnacentral:rRNA from 1 species